CAGAAGGUAGUUUAAGUGUAGAAUUCUAGUUUUGGGGACUAGGGGUGAGAGUUUCUUUCUUCUGA
rnacentral:tRNA from 1 species